rnacentral:rRNA from 1 species
GUGGGGAAUUUUGGACAAUGGGCGAAAGCCUGAUCCAGCCAUGCCGCGUGCAGGAUGAAGGCCUUCGGGUUGUAAACUGCUUUUGUACGGAACGAAAAGACUCCUUCUAAUAAAGGGGGUCCAUGACGGUACCGUAAGAAUAAGCACCGGCUAACUACGUGCCAGCAGCCGCGGUAAUACGUAGGGUGCAAGCGUUAAUCGGAAUUACUGGGCGUAAAGCGUGCGCAGGCGGUUAUAUAAGACAGAUGUGAAAUCCCCGAGCUCAACCUGGGAACUGCAUUUGUGACUGUAUAGCUAGAGUACGGUAGAGGGGGAUGGAAUUCCGCGUGUAGCAGUGAAAUGCGUAGAUAUGCGGAGGAACACCGAUGGCGAAGGCAAUCCCCUGGACCUGUACUGACGCUCAUGCACGAAAGCGUGGGGAGCAAACAGGAUUAGAAACCCCGGUAGUCC